rnacentral:snoRNA from 1 species
CGCAGCCUUGUCAAAUUCGGUGCCCGCCUCUCGGUGGUGGGGACCGGCCCAAGGGCUGCCACAGCAAGGGCCGUGCUUCAUGGGCCCCGCGUCCCCGCCGUGGGGCUGCGGGGAUAAAAAUAAGGCCACGCACAGCC